AUACGUAGGGGGCAAGCGUUGUCCGGAAUCAUUGGGCGUAAAGGGCGCGUAGGCGGAUAUUUAAGUCUGAUGUGAAAACCUAGGGCUCAACCCUGGGAGUGCAUCGGAAACUGGAUAUCUUGAGGACAGGAGAGGAAAGUGGAAUUCCACGUGUAGCGGUGAAAUGCGUAGAUAUGUGGAGGAACACCAGUGGCGAAGGCGACUUUCUGGACUGUAACUGACGCUGAGGCGCGAAAGCGUGGGGAGCAAACAGGAUUAGAUACCCUGGUAGUCCACGCCGUAAACGAUGAGUGCUAGGUGUAGAGGGUAUCGACCCCUUCUGUGCCGCAGUAAACACAAUAAGCACUCCGCCUGGGGAGUACGGUCGCAAGACUAAA
rnacentral:rRNA from 1 species